AUAUGAGGAGGAGAUAUGAGGAGUAGUUAGGAGGAGAAGAUGGAUCAUAAGGAGAGGAAGGGUUAAUAAAAAUGUCCAUCUCGUUUAGUCUGAUCGUCUAACACCCUGAAACCGGCCAAUCAGCACGCACUCACGCUGUGAUGUCACUGACAGGACCUUCAGCUCCGUCAUCAUAUCAUCUAUUUACUAUUAUGUCUCAUUUAUUUAUUUAUUUAUUUAUUGAUUUUUACAAGUUGAAUAUCAUGCCAGAGGUCAGAUUACAGCCUUCUGAUUGGUGGACUGGAGGUGGGAGGGUACCCGCUGGGCCAGAGGUCAGAUUACAGCCUUCUGAUUGGUGGACUGGAGGUGGGAGGGUACCUGCUGGGCCAGAGGUCAGAUUACAGCCUUCUGAUUGGUGGACUGGAGGUGGGAGGGUACCUGCUGGGCCAGAGGUCAGAUUACAGCCUUCUGAUUGGUGGACUGGAGGUGGGAGGGUACCCGCUGGGCCAGAGGUCAGAUUACAGCCUUCUGAUUGGUGGACUGGAGGUGGGAGUGUACCUGCUGGGCCAGAGGUCAGAUUACAGCCUUCUGAUUGGUGGACUGGAGGUGGGAGGGUACCCGCUGGGCCAGAGGUCAGAUUACAGCCUUCUGAUUGGUGGACUGGAGGUGGGAGGGAGCUGACCCUCCAAUCAGAGUUCAUAUCAGACUCUAAAACCAUAUCAGGACCAGCUGGUCAGUCUUGCUGUGUUUCGGCGUGGAAGCAGCUCAAUCCAAAACCAGUCAGAUGCUAGCUUUAGUAUCCAUGGCAACAGUAUUUGUGUUUGAUGUUUCUUUGGUUGGUUAGUUAGUUAGAAGAGUUAGGAAGGGCUACGUGUUUGUUUUAGUUUACUAUCGUCGUCAUGGAGCUGAGCAUGACAGCCGUUACCAUGACAACUAGACCAUGUGACACACACACACACACACAGACACACACACAGAGACACACACCCUCUCUGUCUCCUCACCUGUCCUGCUCUGCACCAAUCGUCUUCCUUUAGAGUGACAAGCCAAUGAGAUGGUCCCGCUGUAUGAUGUCAUAUGAUACUUGUUUGUGAUUGGUUGAUUUCUCCUGCCUGAAAAUGUCCUGAUGUUUAAUAGACAAUAAAAAAACUAUGAAAUUAAA